UUUAAGGAGCAGUAUCUGGUGGGAAGGAACGAGCAAUGGAAGAAGAGCUUUCUUUCUUUGCCUUCUGUCUAGGGCAGGGGCUGAGUUCAUCAUACUAUCAUUCAUUUGUACACCAAGUCUUUUUUGAAUGUUUAUGACAGGUGUCAUGAAGAGGUACAACAGGGAAGAGGGCAAUCAUGGUCCCUGCCUUAGUGGAUCUUACGGCAUCUUGGGGGCACAGAUAAUAAACACCUGAAUCUGAAAAUUAUCCUUUGAGGAAGGCUGAGCAAGAAUUAAUUCCCCCAUUUUACAGAGGUCCUGCUAUGGUCCUGCUAUGUUACCCAAGGUGGUCUUGAACUCCUGGCCUCAAGCCAUCCUCCUGCCUCGGCCUCCCAAAGUGCCAAGAUUAUAGGCAUGAGCCACUGCACACCCAGCCUGCCGUGUGACAUCUGAGGCUAGAUUAUAAGAAUGCUAUGAGCUUCCACCUGGCUUUCAUGGACAGGAUGCUAACUCUUGGAACUCACCUGCCAUGUCGUGAGGAAGUCCAAAUCAUCCCACAUGGAGAGGCCUGUGAAGGUGCUCUAGCUCACAGCCCAGCUGAGGUCCUGGCUGACAGCCUGCAUCAUCUGCCAGGUAUGAGUGAAGAUGCUUCCAGAUGAUUCUAGCUCCCACUCUCAACUUGGAUUCUUCCCAGCAGAGGCUCCAGAAAUCAUAGAGCAGAGAUCGCCUCUCCCUACUCUGCUUUGUCCAAGUUCUGGGCUAUAAAAUCUAUGAGCAUGGUAGCAUGAUUGUUUUACACCAGAAAGUUUUGGGGUAGUUUGUGACAUAGCAACUGGUACAGAAAUUAUUUGCUAACAAGCAGGCAUCUCUCUCAAGGGGGAAAGUCUUCUGGUUAUCUUUGCACCCUUUUCUGGGGCAAAUAUGAUUGGUAGGGAUGAUGCCCAUCAUAGCACCAUUGCUUCAUCAGAGGCCGUUUGGAUCAAUGAGCCCUUCCGUGUUCUUUAGUCACAAUAUGUUAAUAUAUCUUACUUGUCCAUUUCCCACUGACUAGAAUAUCAGUUCCCUAUGAUAAGUUUUUUCCCCUAUUUUGUUUGUUCCUAUAUCCCCCAAACCCAAACUAGUACAGGUGCUCCUCACCUUAUGAUGGGGUUACCUCCCAAUAAACCCGCCAUAAAGUUGAAAAAUCCUAAGUUGAACCAUCUUAAGUUGAGGACCAUCUGUGCUUGGUAGUUGCUCAAUAAAUAAUUGUUGCAAUAAAAAA
rnacentral:lncRNA from 1 species